CAAAGCUUUGAUGGUGAAGCCGAAAUUCUUAUGAGUUUUCGGUGUUUUAAAUCGUUUAACAAGGAAGCACUACUUUACUUUUCGAGAUCUGGUUUGAGUUCUAGUUUUCUAUUCAGUUCAUACACA
rnacentral:sRNA from 1 species